rnacentral:lncRNA from 1 species
GUGGCAAACCAUGUGAUUUCUUCUGACUCUAUUUCCUCUUCUGCCAGUAGUUUCCUGAGCUCGAACUCUACUUUUUGCAACAAGCAGAAUGUACACAUGUUAAACAAGGGCACACAAGCAGGUAACUUGGAGAUUGUGAACGGUGCCGAAAAACACACUCGAGCCAACUCCAAGUUCCAGCGAGGCUAAAUUGGAAGAGGACAGUGAUGUGACUUCUUGGUCAGAAGAAAAACAUGAAGAGAAAAUGCUCUUUACCAGUUAUCCUGAGGACAGAAAGUUAAAAAAGAACAAGAAGAAUUCCCAUGAAGGAGUUUCCUGGUUUGUUCCUGUGGAAAAUGUGGAGUCUAGAUAAAAAGAAGGAAAACAUGCUCAAGACUCAUGACCCUGGCAUCUCCCGGUUGGAACCAGUAACCAAGACCAAGCCGUGGAGGGAGCCACUGUGGGAGCGGAACUGGCAGGGGCAGCACCUGGACAGUCGGGGCUACCUGGCAGGCCCAGGCAGAGAGGAUGGCAGAAACCCACUGAAGCUGUUUGUGAGAGCAACCCUGCGAAUCGCUUCAGUUUCACAGACCUGACUUCAUCUCCCACAUUGGGGAGCGGAUAAAGCGUCUGAAGUUAAUAGUCCAGGAGAGAAAGCUGCAGAGCAUGUUAAAGAGCGAGCGGGAUGCGCUAUUCGACAUUGACAGGGAACGGCAGGGCCACCAGAAUCGCAUGCGCCCACUACCCAAGAGUCUUCCUGGCUGUCCAGAAGAACAAGCCUAUCAGCAAGAAGGAAAUGAUUCAGAGGUCCAAACAGGACACACGCAGGAGGAACAGUAGCACAAAGGCUUCCCGGUGCCUUGUGGGUGAAAGAAAGGCUUCCAGGGAAAGGAGAGAAACACCCAGGGAUCCCGGUGACGUCGGGAAGCAGCACCCAGACCA